rnacentral:lncRNA from 1 species
AAGGAAGAAUGCAGGGUGUGAGCGUUCUAUGAGAGAGAUGAGAGUUUGUGAUUGUGUGAUUGUGAGUCAUGGUACUUUGAGUAGGCUGUGGGAGGAGGAAGAAGGAGGAGUUUGGUGCGUGAGGAAAUUUGGGUAAAAGGAGAAGUGCGGUGUGGUUGUGGGGAGAGGUAGGCAUGGAAUGGGUGGAGUGUGUGUAUGCUGGAAAUUAGGGAGAAGGAAAGGGAGGCCUGUAGGGCGUGGGUGUAAGGUAUCGGGAUAGAGGUGCGUUGGUAUAGUUGUGUGGUGUGAGGGUGUGAGUUGUAUAUAGGUUGGUAUAACUGCUAUAAAUUUAGGAAUUAGUGAGGGAAUAUUACCGGCGUGUAUGUGUUAAAUGUUAGUGUGUGUCCUACGGGGAGACGCGUGUAGGUUCGGUAUACAGGUUAAAGGUAUAGGAGAGCUUCAGGACAACAUAGUGAAGCUAGAACGGGAUGGUAGUGUUCUUGAGUUGGUAGCAUUAGGGGGACGCUGAUAUUGGUUGUCGCUACUUAGAAAGAGUAAGUUGAUCUCGGAUAGUGGUGAUGGUCGGGAGACUCUAAUGGGCAAGGGGUUGGCUCGCCGAUAUUGGUGAUGGGAGGGAAUUGUAUCUGUGUGUGUGUAUUGAGAGAU